CAAAAAAUAUGGUUGUAAACUUUUCAUGUUCUAUGUCAUUUUGUCUCUUGUGGAGAUCUGUCUCAUUGCCGGGAUCACACCCCAUCUUCCUUUUAAUUUUUAAUUGACGGAAGAGAAUAAAGAAUAAAAUUGUUUACUAUAGUGUCACAUAUUGAUUAAAACAAGACAUUCACAAAAUAUUCAUAUACACACAAACAACAAUCAAUAUCCAACCA
rnacentral:lncRNA from 1 species